CACCGGCGGCUCGAGUGGUGGCAACUUUUAUUGGGGCUAAAGCGUCCGUAGCCGGCUUGGCAAGUCCCCUGGGAAAUCUUGCGGCUUAACCGUCAGGCGUCCAGAGGAUACUGCCAGGCUUGGGUCCGGGAGAGGUGAGAGGUACCUCAGGGGUAGGGGUGAAAUCUUGUGAUCCCUGAGGGACCACCAGUGGCGAAGGCGUCUCACUAGAACGGGUCCGACGGUCAGGGACGAAAGCUGGGGGCACGAACCGG
rnacentral:rRNA from 1 species